rnacentral:snoRNA from 1 species
UGGAGUGAUGAAUGACUUCCACGUCUUUUCAUCCGGCGAUGAUUCUCUGAAUAUGUGCCGAGGAUACAACAUGCAUCACCAUCUGACC